CGGGACGUGGCGCAGCCCGGUAGCGCGCCUGAAUGGGGUUCAGGAGGUCGCGGGUUCGAAUCCCGCCGUCCCGA
rnacentral:tRNA from 1 species